rnacentral:rRNA from 1 species
AAAGAAACCAACAGGGAUUGCCUCAGUAACGGCGAGUGAAGCGGCAACAGCUCAAAUUUGAAAUCUGGCCCCUUCGGGGUCCGAGUUGUAAUUUGUAGAAGAUGCUUCGGGUGCGGCCCCGGUCUAAGUUCCUUGGAACAGGACGUCACAGAGGGUGAGAAUCCCGUACGUGCCCGGUGGUCGCCCCCAUGUGAAGCUCUUUCGACGAGUCGAGUUGUUUGGGAAUGCAGCUCAAAAUGGGUGGUAAAUUUCAUCUAAAGCUAAAUAUUGGCCAGAGACCGAUAGCGCACAAGUAGAGUGAUCGAAAGAUGAAAAGCACUUUGGAAAGAGAGUUAAACAGUACGUGAAAUUGUUGAAAGGGAAGCGCUUGCAACCAGACUUGCGCGUGGCCGAUCAUCCGGUGUUCGCACCGGUGCACUCGACCGCGCGCAGGCCAGCAUCGGUUUGGGUGGCUGGAUAAAGGCCUCGGGAAUGUGGCUCCCCUCGGGGAGUGUUAUAGCCCGAGGUGCAAUGCAGCCUACCCGGACCGAGGACCGCGCUUCGGCUAGGAUGCUGGCGU